AGUGGAAGUGGAGACAAUCGCAAGGUUAUUCUUGAGGAAAGUCCGGACUCCAUGGAGAAACGGUGCUUGGUAACGCCAAGCUGAGGUAACUCAAGGGAAAGUGCCACAGAAAAUAUACCGCCAAUUAAUUGGUAAGGGUGAAAUGGCGAGUUAAGAGCUCACCGCAUUUUUAGUAAUAAAAAUGGCAGGGUAAACCCCACCGGGAGCAAGACCAAAUAGGAAUGAAUUUAUUCUCCAUAUCUCAUUCGGGUUGGUUGCAUGAAAUUAAUAGUGAUAUUAAUUCUAGAUGAAUGAUUGUUUAAACAGAAUCCGGCUUACCCACUUCCAUUUAAA
rnacentral:RNase_P_RNA from 1 species